UACGUAGGGGGCAAGCGUUGUCCGGAUUUAUUGGGCGUAAAGAGCUCGUAGGUGGUUCGGUAAGUCGGAUGUGAAAUCUCCAGGCUCAACCUGGAGGGUCAUUCGAUACUGCCGUGACUAGAGUUCGGUAGGGAGUGUGGAAUUCCGUGGUGGAGCGGUGAAAUGCGCAGAUAUCAGGAGGAACACCCGUAGCGAAGGCGGCACUCUGGGCCGAUACUGACACUGAGGAGCGAAAGCGUGGGGAGCGAACAGG
rnacentral:rRNA from 1 species